CAGUAGCCGCGGGAAUACGAAGGGGGCCAGCGUUGUUCGGAUUUACUGGGCGUAAAGCGCGCGUAGGCGGAUCGAUCAGUCAGGGGUGAAAUCCCAGAGCUCAACUCUGGAACUGCCUUUGAUACUGUCGAUCUGGAGUAUGGAAGAGGUGAGUGGAAUUCCGAGUGUAGAGGUGAAAUUCGUAGAUAUUCGGAGGAACACCAGUGGCGAAGGCGGCUCACUGGUCCAUUACUGACGCUGAGGUGCGAAAGCGUGGGGAGCAAACAGGAUUAGAGACCCCCGUAGUCCCUGUCUCUUAUAC
rnacentral:rRNA from 1 species